GUCGUACUGGUUAGAUCGGGAUACUCAUCAAAUUACUACAGAAAACCGAGAAAGCCGUGAAUGUCGAUGGCGGGCCAUUAACGCACACAAGCAGUGUCUGACACUGUCGUGCUAAAGCUGCAUAGCCGAUGGAUUACAAAGCUUCAUGGCACUCAUAUAUUUAUAUAUAAGGAGUUUUCAUCACAAUCACAGUACGACCCUUUU
rnacentral:sRNA from 1 species